rnacentral:rRNA from 1 species
GACGAACGCUGGCGGCGUGCUUAACACAUGCAAGUCGAGCGGUAAGGCCCUUUCGGGGGUACACGAGCGGCGAACGGGUGAGUAACACGUGGGUGACCUGCCCUUAGCUCUGGGAUAAGCCUGGGAAACUGGGUCUAAUACCGGAUAAGCCCUCCGGGGGAAAGAUUUAUCGCUACUAGAUGGGCCCGCGUCGGAUUAGCUUGUUGGUGAGGUAAUGGCUCACCAAGGCUUCGAUCCGUAGCUGGUCUGAGAGGAUGAUCAGCCACACUGGGACUGAGACACGGCCCAGACUCCUACGGGAGGCAGCAGUAGGGAAUAUUGGACAAUGGGCGAAAGCCUGAUCCAGCCAUGCCGCGUGAGUGAAGAAGGCCUUAGGGUUGUAAAGCUCUUUUGCGGGGAAGAUAAUGACGGUACCCGCAGAAUAAGCUCCGGCUAACUUCGU